rnacentral:lncRNA from 1 species
UUCCAACCCUAACAUCAACAUCGCAGGCCCCAAAUGAAGUACUCAGGGAGGCAGGCUAUAUUGAAAUGUCUAAUAAUGAAAAUUACAAUCUUGAAUCUCAGUCAGGCAGAGACGCAUGAUCUGUUCAGGCAUUUUGCCUAUCAAAACCCAAAAGUACUAACCCGAUAAUAAUAGGAAGGACAAUUUACCAAAAUACCAACGAGAGAGGAACAAUUUAACAUUUUACCCAUAUUGUUUGAAUUAGUUUCAAAUUAAGCAUCACCUUACACAUGAUCAUGACUUGGAAUUGUUGCAAAUGUGUAAAAUGUUAAAUAAUGUUUCUCUCAUUGGUAUUUUGAUAAAUUUUCCUAAUAAGAAUAAUAAUAAUAAUAAUAAUAGCAUGAUGAUGAUGAUAAGGGGCAGAAUGGCAGCUUGAUUCAUGGGAUGGAGAUUAGUAAUUUCAAGAGUUAAUUUCCUGAAUUUAUGCCAAUG